GCCGGGCGCGGUGGCUGAAUCCUGUAGUCUCAGCACUUUGGGAGGCCAAGACGGGCGGAUCAUGAGGUCAGGAGAUCGAGACCAUCCUGGCUAACACAGUGAAACCCCGUCUCUACUAAAAAAUACAAAAAACUAGCCGGGCGAGGUGGCGGGCACCUGNNNNNNNNNNCAGGUGCCCGCCACCUCGCCCGGCUAGUUUUUUGUAUUUUUUAGUAGAGACGGGGUUUCACUGUGUUAGCCAGGAUGGUCUCGAUCUCCUGACCUCAUGAUCCGCCCGUCUU
rfam:Chlorocebus sabaeus isolate 1994-021 chromosome 1, whole genome shotgun sequence.